rnacentral:rRNA from 1 species
UGAUGCAGCGACGCCCGCGUGAGGGAUGAAGGCCUUCGGGUUGUAAACCUCUUUCAGUAGGGAAGAAGCGCAAGUGACGGUACCUACAGAAGAAGCACCGGCUAACUACGUGCCAGCAGCCGCGGUAAUACGUAGGGUGCGAGCGUUGUCCGGAAUUAUUGGGCGUAAAGAGCUUGUAGGCGGUUUGUCGCGUCUGCCGUGAAAAUCCGGGGCUCAACUCCGGACUUGCGGUGGGUACGGGCAGACUAGAGUGUGGUAGGGGAGACUGGAAUUCCUGGUGUAGCGGUGAAAUGCGCAGAUAUCAAGAGGAACACCGAUAGCGAAGGCAGGUCUCUGGGCCACUACUGACGCUGAGAAGCGAAAGCGUGGGGAGCGAACAGGAUUAGAUACCCUGGUAGUCCACGCCGUAAACGUUGGGAACUAGGUGUGGGUCUCAUUCCACGAGAUCCGUGCCGCAGCUAACGCAUUAAGUUCCCCGCCUGGGGA